UGAGUAACGCGUGGGUAACCUGCCUCACACUGGGGGAUAACAGUUAGAAAUAGCUGCUAAUACCGCAUAAGCGCACGGUUCCGCAUGGAACAGUGUGAAAAACUCCGGUGGUGUGAGAUGGACCCGCGUCUGAUUAGCCAGUUGGCGGGGUAACGGCCCACCAAAGCGACGAUCAGUAGCCGGCCUGAGAGGGUGAACGGCCACAUUGGGACUGAGACACGGCCCAAACUCCUACGGGAGGCAGCAGUGGGGAAUAUUGCACAAUGGGGGAAACCCUGAUGCAGCGACGCCGCGUGAGUGAAGAAGUAUUUCGGUAUGUAAAGCUCUAUCAGCAGGGAAGAAAGUGACGGUACCUGAAUAAGAAGCCCCGGCUAACUACGUGCCAGCAGCCGCGGUAAUACGUAGGGGGCAAGCGUUAUCCGGAUUUACUGGGUGUAAAGGGAGCGUAGACGGCAAGGCAAGUCUGAAGUGAAAGCCCGGUGCUUAACGCCGGGACUGCUUUGGAAACUGUUUUGCUUGAGUGCCGGAGAGGUAAGCGGAAUUCCUAGUGUAGCGGUGAAAUGCGUAGAUAUUAGGAGGAACACCAGUGGCGAAGGCGGCCUACUGGGCACCAACUGACGCUGAGGCUCGAAAGUGUGGGUAGCAAACAGGAUUAGAUACCCUGGUAGUCCACACCGGAAACGAUGAUUACUAGGUGUUGGAGGAUUGACCCCUUCAGUGCCGCAGU
rnacentral:rRNA from 1 species